GCUGUGACAUCAAUUACUGCUCAAAUGACUUUUUAUGUUGGUCUGAUGCUGUAUUCUCUCCUUAAUGAACCAUCCAUGGAAGCAAUGUCACUCCCAGAUGUUUUGAUUCCCAUAUUUGGUGUCAAUGUUUCAGCCGCUCUGAGCUGGGAGUGUCAGGACAGACCGAGAGCUCCGGGAGAAGAAAUAACAUUUAUGAAAGAAACCUCCCCCACGCUUGAUGUAGGAGGUCCAGGUGAUGCAGCAAGUUCUGAAAAUGAAAACGUGUCUAGUCCGGAGGGCCUGCAAAGUCCAGAUGGUAUGGCCUGCACAGACAGCCCACCUGGCCCCGAUGACGUCAUCACAACCAAUCCGACCAGCCGCUAUGACAUCCUGAAUAGCCCGACCUGCCCUACAUGAUCAGUCCAGACGUCAUUUUCAGGACCAGUCGUCCAGAGGUCAACUAUGAUGACGUGCCCUGUGAGAGCCUCCUCUCUCCUGUGGAAGUUGUGUGUCAGAUUGCAUCUAUGAGAACGUUCAGAGGCAAGUGGACCAUCAUGGCACCAACAACAGCUGGAGCGGCAGUGAGUUUGAGAGCUAUGAUGAGCAGUCAGACAGCGGGACCAAAGUCAAGACCCUGCAUGGCCCACAGCAGUAGUAAGAUAGGGAGGGCUCUUAUUUUGUAUACUCAGCUGCUUUUGCAAUCUCUAUAUUUUUUUGUAUGUGUUAUUCAGACCUUGAUACUAUACAUAACUUGGUGCUACAAUUAUUUAAUGACACCCAAGGAUGUCUGUUGCGUCAAUGUAAGCAUUGUUGUUUUUUGAAUGGAGAUGUAUUGAGGACUCUAGUGCCCAAAAGCCUGUUUUAGCAUGGGCUAAAUUGAGAACUUUCAUUGAGAACUUUCACCAUUUUGAAGUAGUCAACUGGGUAGAACUUCCUAUGGGUUAAGGAAGGAUCACAUAAUUCCAUCCGGGUCAUCAGGAUGGAUCAACCAAUGAAUUAUACUCGUGAGCAAACAUUCCAUAACUGCAGGUGGCAGUAAAUCGCCAAUCUUGGCUUUAUACCUGUUCAAACAACACACUACAGGUGGCAGUACGUACCCUUUCAGCUAACUACUUCAAAAUGGUACUGCUUGUGCGCUCGCACACAACAUAAUGGGACAGUUACAAUAUUGCAAUCUCUGUACAUCUCUGUCAGUGGAGGCUGCUGAGGGGAGGACGGCUCAUAAUAAUGGCUGGAAUGGAGUGUUUGAUACCGUUCCAUUCUCUCCAUUCCGGACAAUAUUAUGAGUCGUCCUCCCUCUCAGCAGCCUCCACUGGUCUCUAUGGUAUGUUGCUAUGUCUUUUUCAAAAUAUAGCAGUACUAUGUAGGCUCAAAUAUCAUAUGAAAAGCAUAUUAUGAAGUCAAAUGCACAUCACUUUUCAAUCCCAAAUUGUAACCAAUAAAGGUUUUCGUUGUAGUA